GUGCACUUCUGAAUGAAUUGGCGCAUUCGGAUGGAACGAAAGGAUCAUUUUAAACACACGCCUCAAACAAAAGUGAAAACCAGAGACAAUGUUCUUGUGGUGAGGCUGCCUUCAACAAACCACUUGUGCAGGAGAAAGGAGACUAGCCAGUGGGGAGAGAGUGUAAAGUAGAAUUUGUCUGAGGAGAAGGGCAUAAAUCGCUCAGAGGAUGUCUGGAUCCUUAACCAAGACUGUAGCUAAGCCUGAACCGAACACUUACCCCUGCAGGACCCUGCUAGAGACACACCUCACCCUAAUUAUGAAGACAGUCCUAUUUAUCAUCUCCCUUGGGCCACAGUUGUUCAGAGAUAAAACUUUCGCUGGCUUCCAGCAAUGGUCUCAUCCAGCUCAGUGGAAAGACUCCGACUGACUGAAAUGGGAGCUGGACCAAGUCCCG